UUAAACCGCAGAACCAGCCUGUCUCCCUGCGUUAGAGACCUUGCCAGUACUGCCACCUCGAAGGCUAACAUCUUGAUCCUCUGCAGUUGCCGCUGCAGGUCCACGAAGACCUGACACUGCUCUCUCCUGCCCAUGGCUCUCGCAAGAACUGACAGGCUGGGCUUCACCUCGGGGUUGCUGCUGGUCCAUAGCAACAGUGGGAACGGCCAUGGAUGGAGCGGGAGCCUCAAAGAGGUUUUGCCAUUGUCUUGGAGAGGAACCUUGCAGCCUCACUCCGCGCUGCGCCUGGGCUCUCUGCGGCAGACCUCUCCCGGGAGACAACAGGCAGAGCGGACGGGUGGCACACGGCCGUCCCCCUCCAGACCGUGUCGAGCGGCGGGGAAAAGGGCCGGCACCUCGGUCGCCCGGAGGGCCCAGAUGUGUGACCGUCACGAUCUGCCGGAGCACAAACUGGUCAGUUUAUGUGCCUCAUUUUGUGCUACAGCCUCACGGGACCUGGGACUUCUCCACAUUGUGUUUUAGUCACCUGCAAGAAGCAGARAAAGAGAAAUCCUUCCUCACCUCAACAGAAAUGUCUUAGGAACUGGAGUCUGAACUCUACCCCUCCCUUUGCCAGGGGAAGAAUGGACAUAUGAUUAAAAUGAAUUGCUCCUUUAACAAAUUACCGCUCAUUAGCCAAGCGWCUGUGAUUGUGUGCACACUUUUAGCCUGUCUUAUCUAUGAAAUGAAAAGAUAUUACACUAAAAAAAAAUCCUAAUGAUUAACAUAACUCAAUUGCCUGGCAAUAACUCUAUCAGCAUGUGAUAAAAAGUGAUACCCUAUGUUCCUAAUGGCCGUACGAAUAUAGCAGAAUAAUAUAGCACAAAGCCUUGAACUCCUGUGUGUCUGGUUUAGUACAGAAUACCUUGGCGGGUCCUAGGGCAAACUGAGGAGUUUGACCCUAUGGUGACAGAGGCCGGGGCCCAGAAUUGCUAUCACGGAUUGGAGAGAAGAGCUCUGCAUUUUUAUUUGUACACAAAGG
rnacentral:lncRNA from 1 species